GAUGAACGCUGGCGGCGUGCCUAAUACAUGCAAGUCGAGCGAACAGAUGAGGAGCUUGCUCCUCUGACGUUAGCGGCGGACGGGUGAGUAACACGUGGAUAACCUACCUAUAAGACUGGGAUAACUUCGGGAAACCGGAGCUAAUACCGGAUAAUAUAUUGAACCGCAUGGUUCAAUAGUGAAAGACGGUUUUGCUGUCACUUAUAGAUGGAUCCGCGCCGCAUUAGCUAGUUGGUAAGGUAACGGCUUACCAAGGCAACGAUGCGUAGCCGACCUGAGAGGGUGAUCGACCACACUGGAACUGAGACACGGUCCAGACUCCUACGGGAGGCAGCAGUAGGGAAUCUUCCGCAAUGGGCGAGAGCUUGACGGAGCAACGCCGCGUGAGUGAUGAAGGUCUUCGGAUCGUAAAACUCUGUUAUUAGGGAAGAACAAAUGUGUAAGUAACUAUGCACGUCUUGACGGUACCUAAUCAGAAAGCCACGGCUAACUACGU
rnacentral:rRNA from 1 species